rnacentral:misc_RNA from 1 species
GAUGAAGAACGCAGCGAAAUGCGAUAAGUAGUGUGAAUUGCAGAAUUCAGUGAAUCAUCGAAUCUUUGAACGCACAUUGCGCCCCUUGGUAUUCCAUGGGGCAUGCCUGUUCGAGCGUCAUUUGUACCCUCAAGCUUUGCUUGGUGUUGGGUGUUUGUCCCGCGUUGCGCGUGGACUCGCCUUAAAGCGAUUGGCAGCCGGCAUAUUGGCCUUGGAGCGCAGCACAUUUUGCGCUUCUAGUCAUGAAUGUUGGCGUCCAUUAAGCCUAUACAUUUGCUCUUGACCUCGGAUCAGGUAGGGAUACCCGCUGAACUUAAGCAUAUAAUAAGCGGAGGA